rnacentral:piRNA from 1 species
UACUGAAGGAUACACCCACCUCACAGCAGU